rnacentral:tRNA from 1 species
UGAUAUAGCUCAGUGGUAAAGUGCUUGCCUAGCAAGUUCAAUGUCCUGGGUUCAAGCCCCAGUACCA